AUUGAACGCUGGCGGUAUGCUUAACACAUGCAAGUCGAACGGUAACAGGCCUUCGGGCGCUGACGAGUGGCGGACGGGUGAGUAACGCGUAGGAAUCUGCCUCAUAGUGGGGGACAACGUGGGGAAACUCACGCUAAUACCGCAUACGCCCUACGGGGAAAGGCGGGGGAGUCUUCGGACCUCGCGCUAUGAGAUGAGCCUGCGUUAGAUUAGCUAGUUGGUAGGGUAAAGGCCUACCAAGGCGACGAUCUAUAGCUAGUCUGAGAGGACGAUCAGCCACACUGGGACUGAGACACGGCCCAGACUCCUACGGGAGGCAGCAGUGGGGAAUAUUGGACAAUGGGCGCAAGCCUGAUCCAGCAAUACCGCGUGUGUGAAGAAGGCCCUAGGGUUGUAAAGCACUUUCAAUUGGGAGGAAAACCUGCCGGUCAAUACCCGGCAGCUUGACAUUACCUUUAGAAGAAGCACCGGCUAACUCCGUGCAGCAGCCGCGGUAA
rnacentral:rRNA from 1 species